CUUUGAUCGAGGAACUUGUGGAACCGGUCAGAAGGGAUGCUGGAGAAUGGUUGUAACCGGUCCAGUACCUUUUCACCUGUAUCUUCAGUGGACAUAAUGCUUUGAGCUGAGAUGAUUCUGAACAGAACUCUGAACUUCAUGUGCGUCCACUCUCCAUCUCCCUCUGUAAGACCACUGGACUUCUGCUGAGACAUUACACAGUGCGGCUCACAGUGGGAGACAAGACCAUUAAGCUGCGGCGGUGGUGUAAAAUUUCCCAGAAUGCAAUGGUCUGAGAAAGGGAGCACUACCUCCGAGGUCUGGUGGUGACAGGCUGGGAUGACAUCACCAACAACUGCAAUGAGAUACCAUCGUAACAUAAAUAAUAUUUUUGUUGACGUUCGAAAUAAAUCAGAUCAGAAGGCAUGUAACUCACAGCUAAGCUGAGAUAUCAUCACAGUCUCAGACGAUCCGGUCCGCCCACUGACCCUCGACAAACCUGACACGACAACUGCCACCCAUGAGUCAACACAGACCGACAGCAAAGAUAUACAGCAAAAACACUACAAUGCAUUUCCUCAUAAAAAUCAUAAUCAAUGCAUUCAUUCCAAAGUUCACGAGUUCAAAUUUGCAUGUUUUUUUGUUUUGUUUUGUGUGUGUGUGUGUGUGAAAGUAAAGACUUUUAUCAUGUUGCGAAACAUUUUAGUUUCAUAUAAAUGUGGUUCUUAUGAUUUUUAUAUUCAGCAAUGAAUAUUGGAGAAAACAAUUUCAUGGUUUCCACCAAAAUAUCAAGCAGCACAACUGCUUUCAACAUUAUGAUAAAAAUAUUUUGUAACAUUAGAAAAAAGUUGGUUAGACUUUAUUUUAAGGUGUCCUUGUU